rnacentral:rRNA from 1 species
UACGUAGGUGGCAAGCGUUGUCCGGAUUUAUUGGGUUUAAAGGGUGCGUAGGCGGCUUAUUAAGUCAGGGGUGAAAGACGGUGGCUCAACCAUCGCAGUGCCUUUGAUACUGAUGAGCUUGAAUACACUUGAGGUAGGCGGAAUGUGACAAGUAGCGGUGAAAUGCAUAGAUAUGUCACAGAACACCAAUUGCGAAGGCAGCUUACUAAGGUGCAAUUGACGCUGAGGCAUGAAAGCGUGGGGAUCAAACAGG